AAACAGCCCCGCCUCGUCCUAACCUACCCUGCCCCGCCCUGCCCCAUCCUCCCUCACCCCUCUGUGCUCCGCCCAGACCCACCUUUCCCGGUUCCUUUCCCGCCCCGCCGCGCCCUGCCACGCUUUGCCCUAUCCAACCCGUUCCUGUCCGUUCCUGCCCGUUUCUGCCCGGUUCUGCACCAUCCUGCCCCGGUCCAAUCCUACCCUGCCCCGCCCCGCCGCGCCCUUCCCACGCCUAGCCACGCCUUGCCUCAUCUACUCGGGUCCUACCGACCCCGUCCUGUCCCGCCCUGCCCUGCCCUGCCCGGUCCUGCCUUGUCCUGCUCCGCCUUGCCCGGUCCGGCCCGGUCCGGCCCAGUCCGGCCCAGUCCGGCCCUAUUCUGCCCUGUCCUGCCUUGCACGGGGCUCCUUGUCCCGGGCGCCAUAGCCGCUGUAGGUACUGCGCCGCCCGGCUCCUAGACGUCAGCGGUGGGAGGCGGACUGGCGUCGCCAGAGCCCGGCUUGAGCCAGGCCAGAUGUGCAGACUCCUGGUGCAGCUGCAGGCAGUAUGGUCUAGACUCACUGAGAAAAGCGGCCUCCACUGUGCGCCUCCCCUCGGGCCCGGGAAGUGCAGCCAGUGUGCAGCCCUAAUGAAUUUGGGGGUGCAGGAGUUGCAUCUCUUUGGCCUGGAGAGGUGGCCCCCAUUGCAAGGCCACCAGAGGAACAGGCAGCUCCAGCCAGUUUCAGUAACUGUGGUCCUUCCGUGAGCUCGGACAGGCGCAGGGGUGCGCGCACACAUCUUAGUGUCAAGAAGGGGAAACUGAGGCGGCAAAACCUGGCCCGGGGGAAGAGGGAAAAGAUUUUUUCUCAGUGACUCUCAAACUCCUUACAGCUGUGUGAAGUGUCUUUGGAGACUGGUUACAGCCUCCCACUUCCUCAGGUCUGAGGAUGUGAGACAGAAAGAAAAACCUCAAGUCGGCUGGAAGCAUUUGUAAAGCAUCUUUUAGUCCACAGCGUGCUGUCACUGGCGCCUGCUUGAUCCAGCCCUGGGCUGGGCCCUGGGGACAUGAAUGAGUCAGGUCUGCAUCCUGAUCCCCCUGUCCAGUGGUGACCACUCUGGCUGUGCCUGCUGCCUUGCCCAGAGUUUGUGGGCUGUUUUGUGAGAGGACUCAGUCGGGGCCUUGGUGAGCUGUGGUUCCUGCUAAAAGAGGUUGUGGCCUGGACACACACCCAGAACCUUUCAUCCUCUGCUCAAGACCUCCUGUCCCCAGACAAGACCUCCUGUCCCCAGACAGACCUUCUUUAUGAACAGUCCAUGCAUCCCACUGGCUUCCUGUAGGGACUUCCUCUGCCUGGGACUAGCCACCCAAUUCUUUGCUUACCACUGCUGGCGACCUGCGACUUGACCCCCAAUCCCAGCCCUACUGCUCAACUGAAAUCCACACCCUACCUUGAACACUUAGGUUGUGGCUCCAUUCAUACAAGGUCCUGACCUCCAGGCUGCCCCAGCUUCUCAGAAAUUUCUAGCCUUGCCGUUUCUGCGUUUCUGCUCUACCUCUCCAGGUAACCUUCCUGCAUCUGUCCCCAGCCUUCCUGAACACCUGUCUCUCUGUCCCCUGUGUCUCCACCUUAGAGGGCCUUCUCGCUAAGGAAAGGCAUUGGCCACGUCAGCACAGAGCUGGGUGUGGAUGAGCUGUGAGGUGUUUGUUGAAUGAGUGGUAUUUCUGCCCUUCUCUAAAAAGCCGGAGCCAAAAGAAUACAUCACAAGAGCUCAGCACUGAGGUGAGUCAGAGGUUCAAGGCUUGUUUGCUGUCUCCAUUGGCACAAAAACGUCUGUCAGCCAAGAGACUUCUCAAGGAGGUGGUAUGACGGCCUGGCCAGGCCAGAACUGGGACCCUUGGAGAUGGCCUCACUAGGCAGAAGGGUGCCAGGGUAGGAACAGUCAGGAGGUGGGAAGGUGACUUUUUACUCAGAGGCAUCAGCUUGGAGGGGCAGCCUCUUGGAUGUCUCAGAUGGCCAGCACAGGGGCCAGGACAAAGGGUAGCAGAGCUGAGUGGCCUCUGAAUGCUUCCCUAGUGUGUGCAGAGAAAAGAGAUUUGAGGGUUGGAUGAGUGUGUGCUGGGGACAAGAACAGCAUAGUGUGCCCCUGAUGGAGAGGGGAACCCUUUGCUGAAGGGCACCCCUCCAGGCAAAUAUGGGCUGCUGCUGGGCUCUCUGAGUGAUGUAAACAUUUAGGCUCCUCAAGCCUUCCUGCUCCACUCUGGGGAGGCCUGGAGACUUCACAUUUGUAGAGCUGUGAUGGAUACCAGGCGCUUGAGAAGUGAACGAACCCAAUCGAGCAGGGAAUCAUGGAGAUUCUUGGCCCAGGAGCAGAAGCGAAGGGGCAGGGAGAGAGGGGGAGGGGGAGGGAGAGCGAGGGCAGCUUCCCUCACAGGCCCCUCAUUCAUACUGUUCCUUCAGUAUCCAACCCCACCGUGGCGGCAUGCGGGGGAGAUGGACUCAGAGGUAGGGCUCGCAGAUUCCUGAAGGCUUGAGGCUUUGGCGCCAAAGGAUAAAAAAGCUGGGGAGAGAAUUGGUGGGGAGGGGAGGGAGCAGGGUGCUGAGGGGAGAGGUGGAGGACUGGGAGAAGGAAAACAGCCCAUCAGUGGUGCUCCUCUUCCUCCUCCUCUUCCCCCUCCUCCUCCUCCUCUUCUUCACCACAAGCUGAGAUCAAAGGUGAUAUUUUUACAUCAACUGAAAUAGAAACCCACUGGACGCAGGGGGUGGGGGGGAGGCAAGCGGCCAGGACACAGGCCCCUUUAUGCCGCCUGUGGCCGGAGUAAGCAUCCUGCCUGGGGACAGUGUGGCGGUGACCAUCCCGGCUUGGGUUCAGGAAAUCAGGAAUAAACCAGGGAUGAGCCCUGGGGGUGGCCUGCAGUUAGUGAUGUGGAAGCAUGGCAACCGGCCCCUCCCACCCAUGCAGCCAUCUUUGGGUCUGUGCUGCAUUGAUGGCCACUGCAGGUGUCUAGGCGCAGGGCCCUGAGCCAUCCAAACAGCCCUGCAGGAAGGGUUCCUAGUGGCCCCUGUUUUAUGGAAGAAGCAGCCCAGGAUACAUGGGGAAAGUGACCUAAAUUCUGUCCUCCAAGGAGUUGGAAACAAAUUCAGAAUUAGGUGCUGUGGACUCAUCCAACACCCUUUAUUUAUAAUCACUGUAAUCUCCCGUUGCCUACUCACACACCAAAGUGCGCCUGUUAGCCACAGCCAAGUCCCCUAGAGCAGCAGGUCCUCAGAUACCAGCAUGACCCAGAAAUACGCUGGGAAUGCCUAUUCUCAGGUCCCAAUCCAGACUCAUAAACCGAAAUGCUGGGAGGGGGACCCAGUUCUCCAGACUUCAACAACCUGCCCCAGGGGGCCAGCUGGAAGCUAAGCUGAGACUCCAGUACUGCACUGCCUCAGUUUCCACAAGGUUAAGCAUAACAGUAGCUAAGACAUGGGCUGGGUGUGAGCCUGGCCCAGGCAUCCUUUUUAGCCCUCUACAAAUAUUAGCUCAGUGAACGUCACAAAUGGCCUUGUGAGAAAGACUAAGGCAGAGGAGCGCGGCAGGUUAGCUCGGCUAAGAAGCCACAGCUUCUAGAGCCGAGCUCUUGACAAAGCCGCCCCCCCCCCGGGGGGUGGUAGCUCCUAGAGCACAUGCUGGGCACGGCUGAGGUGAUGAGGCAGGAAGCAUUACCUCACCUGAGAGGAGCCGAUGACCCCCCAGUCUCAGAUCUACUGCUUUGUCAAGACCGAGGCAUGAGUCAGCUGCAAACCCAGCCUCAGCGUCUGGAACCCUGGAUGACAGCCUCACCCUUCUCAAAGCACCAUCCUGGGCUUUUGAAACACCUCACUUUACACAGGACGCAGAGUGGGCUCUCACCGGGAGCGGGAACCCCAGUUUGACCUCUCCAAACCUCUGUUUCUUGUUCUGUGAACAGAAGAAUGAUAGUUGUAGAUCCACAGGGAUGGCGACAUUUGUCACAUCCGAAAGUGUGCACAGAGCCAGCUACCCCUGGGGAAAUGCCAGCUCAGAGUCCAGAAAGAUUCAAAGGAAAAAACCAAGGGGCCUCCAGCCCCGCCCCCUUCCCAUCUUCUAGGCACAGUGGCUCUAGGGAGGUUUUGGAGGUUAAACAGAGGCGCCAGCUGUGUCCCCGCAGGAACUUAGUUACCUGUGUUGGGAAGCACCAGCCUUACCACACUACACCACACCUAACCACACCAGAGCACACUGGCCAGGCCAGGCCAGGCUAGGCUUCGCAAUCAGUGCUGUAUUGGAGGACCGGUUGCCUCCAGCCUGAGAACAUCUGAAGCGCAUUAGCGGCUGACCCUGCUUGGCUUGGCGAGCAUUACCCCGAGACAGAGAUCGCAAAGGAUGCAAACAAAGACCAGGUGGCAGGUCCUGGUGACUGACCAACCAAGAUUGGCUCCCACGGGCAGUCCUCACACUGAUCUCUCUCAACACCUCACCUCAUGGUCCUAACAUUACCCUGACCUCGGGCAGCCUCCUGUUCCCUCUUGGGACCCACGUCUCUGAGAAGCUGUGGCCUGGUGAGCCUGGACUUGGAGACGCGAACAUCUUGGUGACACAGCCUCCCCAGGGAGACCUGCUGGGGGCACUGGGAGGACAGUACAGCUGGCCUUUGGGACCACGCAUGCAUGUGACCCAAGUGGGUUUUCCCGCGCCUUGGUUUUUCUCUGGAUGCCUCUCUCCUCCGUUGCUGCCUUCUGUCUUUAGACAGGCAUUGUCAAGACAUUUCUUGGAACUACAGCGCAAUGGAGGAGACACAAUGAGCCAAUAACGAAGGUGUUUCUAUUGUUGCUAUUACGAAAUACCCGAGGGUGUCAUGUGUCCCAAGCUGGUCUCCAACCGGCUAUGGAACUGAGGAUGACCUUGAACUUCUGACCUCCUUGCCUUUACCUCUUAAGUGCUGGAAUUUUGGGUAUGCAGUGCUGGGGGUUGAACCCAGGACUUAAUGUGUACUAGGUAAGCAUUCCACUAAGUGAACCCCAGCCUCUCCCUCCGUGUUUUUGAUAAUGUGGCUGAUUGGAAAAGAUGGCAGAGGAGGAGGAGGCUGAUAUUCGGGGUGCCUAUGGCAACCUUGGGCUGUACUCAGCCUCUGCAGCAAAGAGGCUCCUGAUUCCCAGAGCUCCUCUAGUUCUGGUUUCUGGUGAUUUGUUUCCCUGACUCUGGUGUUACAGCUAACCAUUCAGCACAACCUGGGUCCUGAUGCAAGCCCAAGUGGGAGCCAGAAACAGGAAGAUAGGGUCCUGAGCCCUUCCGAAAAGUCUCAGAGUCUGUGCAAGUGAUCAAAAGUCUGCAUUGCACUUACAGACAAUUUCAAUCUCCUCUCCUUCCUUCUCUGUAUAUAAAAAACAAACAAACACAAAGAACCCAAGGCUGGCACACCGCUGUGGGUCCAGGGAUCCAGGGAGGUGAUGCAGUAGUUUAUGUACCAAGACCUUUGAGCUGGGUGACCAGUACAUGACACAAGUCCCUCCCAGCCUUAGACUGCGAAACAAUGGAUUUCUCAGUGGAGUGUGUUUGGUAUUGUGAUUAGCAUCCCCGCUGUGAGGAGAAAGCACCGGUGUUCUAACAGCCUUAAGAAUGACAUCGGCUUUCCUCAGCCAAUGUACGUGGUAUGUAGGAACGACAAAGGGGUAUGGCACAGGAAAGGGUCUGAAGGAAGGCCAGUGUGGAUGGAGUGCAGGGGCCCUGGAGAAGGUUUCAGAAAAAUACCCAGGCCUGGCCGCCAGGGCCUUGGGGACCAUGCAUGGCCACUUCUGUGCAUGGUGCUCUCUCACUCUCAUGUCCCAGUUGAGUGAGUGACCAUAGAGCCACCUUAUUUGCAAGCCGGGGAGCUUUGUCCUCAAAGCAGCCAGUGAGCAAAGAUGGCCCUGUCCGGGCUCCCUCUGAACCUGCCCUAGGCCUGGGCUCUAUAUGCUGAGGAGUCAAGGGCUGCUGGGGAGCAGCCACAGCCAUUACUAAGCUGGAUGAUGGGUCUGCUGCUGCCCUCUUCCCGGGCAGACACCCCCAGCCCCCUGCCAGCUUCCCCUCUGCAGUGUCUGGAGGUGAGAGCUUUUCCACCAUGCAAAAGCCAAGACUGCUUCUUGGCUCCAGGUUCAGUGAGCUGAUUUCUGCUGUCCCCUCCCUGGCCUGAUGCCUCAGGGACCCAGUGCAGGCCUCAGUCAGGCCACAGGGUUCUUUCCACCCUGUUUUUUAUUUUUCCCUCUCCUCUCAGUGUGGUUCUAUCCCUCUGCUGGACCUCUCUGUGUCCCCCGCCAAUUUCCUCCCUCCCUCCCUCCCUCCCUCCUUCCCUCCCUCCCUC